rnacentral:rRNA from 1 species
CCUAAGGCGAGGCCGAAAGGCGUAGUCGAUGGAUAGCAGGUUAAUAUUCCUGCGCACCUGUUGAGAUCAAAGCAUAGUGCGGAUUUCCAAGCUCUUCUGGACUGUUAGACGUCCAGGCCUUCGGGCCGUUGAAGGGGGAGGGAGUUCCUAGAAAAGCUAUGUGGGCGAUACAGGUCCCGUACUAAAACUGACACAGGUAGACGAGGCGAAUAGCCUCAGGCGCUCGAGAGAAUGGUUGUGAAGGAAUUAGGCAAAAUCACUCCGUAAGUUCGCGAGAAGGAGGCCCUUCGGGGCGCAGAGAAAAGGCCCUGGCAACUGUUUAUCAAAAACACAGCACUGUGCUAACUCGCAAGAGGAUGUAUACAGUGUGACGCUUGCCCAAUGCCCGAAUGUCACGGAAGCAGGUUAGCUUCGGCGAAGCUUGCAACUUAAGCACGGGUCAAUGGCGGCCGUAACUAUGACGGUCCUAAGGUAGCGAAGUUCCUUGUCGGGUAAGUUCCGACGCGCAUGAAUAGCGUAAUGACUGGGGCACUGUCUCCACAACCAACUCGGUGAAAUAGUAGUGGCGGUGUAGAUGCCGCCUACCCGCAGCAAGACGGAAAGACCCCGUGAACCUUUACUGCAGGCUCAUAUUGGUCAUGAGCACAUGAUGUGCAGGAUAAGUGGGAGGCUUUGAAGCUGACGUUCAGGCGUUGGUGGAGCCGUUGUUGAGAUACCACUCUUCUUGAGUUUGUGGCCUAACCCUGAUUCCCGUGAAGCCGGGCAGGGGACAGUGUGUGUCGGGUAGUUUGACUGGGGCGGUCUCCUCCUAAAGAGUAACGGAGGAGCGCAAAGGUUGGCUCAGCACGGAUGGAAACCGUGUUUCAGAGUGUAAGAGCACAAGCCAGCUUUACUGCGAGUCCGACAGGACGAGCAGUCUCGAAAGAGGGCUCUAGUGAUCCUGCGAUCGCGUGUGGAAGCGUCGUAGCUCAUCGGAUAAAAGGUACUCCGGGGAUAACAGGCUGAU